UUUAAUCUCAAAACGACUCUCGGCAACGGAUAUCUCGGCUCUCGCAUCGAUGAAGAACGUAGCGAAAUGCGAUACUUGGUGUGAAUUGCAGAAUCCCGUGAACCAUCGAGUCUUUGAACGCAAGUUGCGCCCGAAGCCUUCGGGCCGAGGGCACGCCUGCCUGGGCGUCACGCAU
rnacentral:rRNA from 1 species